UACGUAGGGUGCGAGCGUUGUCCGGAAUUAUUGGGCGUAAAGAGCUUGUAGGCGGUUUGUCGCGUCUGCCGUGAAAAUUCGAGGCUCAACCUCGAACUUGCGGUGGGUACGGGCAGACUAGAGUGUGGUAGGGGAGACUGGAAUUCCUGGUGUAGCGGUGAAAUGCGCAGAUAUCAGGAGGGACACCGAUGGCGAAGGCAGGUCUCUGGGCCACUACUGACGCUGAGAAGCGAAAGCAUGGGGAGCGAACAGG
rnacentral:rRNA from 1 species